AUAUCAAUAAGCGGAGGAAAAGAAACCAACAGGGAUUGCCCCAGUAACGGCGAGUGAAGCGGCAACAGCUCAAAUUUGAAAUCUGGCCCCCCGCGGGUCCGAGUUGUAAUUUGCAGAGGAUGCUUUUGGCGCGGCGCCUUCCGAGUUCCCUGGAACGGGACGCCAUAGAGGGUGAGAGCCCCGUCCGGUCGGAUGCCUAGCCUCUGUAAAGCUCCUUCGACGAGUCGAGUAGUUUGGGAAUGCUGCUCAAAAUGGGAGGUAUAUGUCUUCUAAAGCUAAAUACCGGCCAGAGACCGAUAGCGCACAAGUAGAGUGAUCGAAAGAUGAAAAGCACUUUGAAAAGAGGGUUAAACAGUACGUGAAAUUGUUGAAAGGGAAGCGCUCAUGACCAGACUUGGGCGUGGUGAAUCACCCGGCGUUCUCGCCGGGGCACUUUGCCUGCCCAGGCCAGCAUCAGCUCGCCCCGGGGGAUAAAGGCUUCGGGAAUGUGGCUCCCUCGGGAGUGUUAUAGACCGUUGCGCAAUACCCUGGGGUGGGCUGAGGUUCGCGCUCCGCAAGGAUGCUGGCGUAAUGGUCAUCAGCGA
rnacentral:rRNA from 1 species